rnacentral:rRNA from 1 species
CACCUACGGGGGGCAGCAGUGGGGGAUAUUGCACAAUGGGGGAAACCCUGAUGCAGCGACGCCGCGUGAGUGAAGAAGUAUUUCGGUACGUAAAGCCCUAUCAGCAGGGAAGAAACAGGACAGUACCUGACUAAGAAGCCCCGGCUAACUACGUGCCAGCAGCCGCGGUAAUACGUAGGGGGCAAGCGUUAUCCGGAUUCACUGGGCGUAAAGGGAGCGCAGGCGGCAUGGCAAGUCUGAUGUGAAAACCCGGGGCCCAACCCCGGGAGUGCAUGGAAACCGGCAGG